rnacentral:rRNA from 1 species
CAGUAGCCGCGGGAAUACAGAGGGUGCAAGCGUUAAUCGGAAUUACUGGGCGUAAAGCGCGCGUAGGUGGUUUGUUAAGUUGGAUGUGAAAUCCCCGGGCUCAACCUGGGAACUGCAUCCAAAACUGGCAAGCUAGAGUAGGGCAGAGGGUGGUGGAAUUUCCUGUGUAGCGGUGAAAUGCGUAGAUAUAGGAAGGAACACCAGUGGCGAAGGCGACCACCUGGGCUCAUACUGACACUGAGGUGCGAAAGCGUGGGGAGCAAACAGGAUUAGAUACCCGUGUAGUCCCUGUCUCUUAUAC